rnacentral:rRNA from 1 species
CCUACGGGGGGCUGCAGUGGGGAAUAUUGCACAAUGGGCGCAAGCCUGAUGCAGCCAUGCCGCGUGUGUGAAGAAGGCCUUCGGGUUGUAAAGCACUUUCAGCGGGGAGGAAGGCGUUAAGGUUAAUAACCUUGGCGAUUGACGUUACCCGCAGAAGAAGCACCGGCUAACUCCGUGCCAGCAGCCGCGGUAAUACGGAGGGUGCAAGCGUUAAUCGGAAUUACUGGGCGUAAAGCGCACGCAGGCGGUCUGUCAAGUCGGAUGUGAAAUCCCCGGGCUCAACCUGGGAACUGCAUUCGAGACUGGCAGGCUAGAGUCUUGUAGAGGGGGGUAGAAUUCCAGGUGUAGCGGUGAAAUGCGUAGAGAUCUGGAGGAAUACCGGUGGCGAAGGCGGCCCCCUGGACAAAGACUGACGCUCAGGUGCGAAAGCGUGGGGAGCAAACAGGAUUAGAUACCCGAGUAGUC